rnacentral:rRNA from 1 species
GAUGAACGCUGGCGGUAUGCUUAACACAUGCAAGUCGAACGGACUCUUCGGAGUUAGUGGCGGACGGGUGAGUAACGCGUGAGAAUCUGGCUUUGGGUUCGGGACAACCACUGGAAACGGUGGCUAAUACCGGAUGUGCCGAGAGGUAAAAGAGAAAUUGCCUGAAGAUGAGCUCGCGUCUGAUUAGCUAGUUGGUGAGGUAAAGGCUCACCAAGGCAGCGAUCAGUAGCUGGUCUGAGAGGAUGACCAGCCACACUGGGACUGAGACACGGCCCAGACUCCUACGGGAGGCAGCAGUGGGGAAUUUUCCGCAAUGGGCGAAAGCCUGACAGAGCAAUACCGCGUGAGGGAAGAAGGCUCUUGGGUUGUAAACCUCUUUUCUUAGGGAAGAACAAAAUGACGGUACCUAAGGAAUCAGCAUCGGCUAACUCCGUG